UACGAAGGGGGCUAGCGUUGCUUGGAAUCACUGGGCGUAAAGCGCACGUAGGCGGCUUCUUAAGUCAGGGGUGAAAUCCUGGAGCUCAACUCCAGAACUGCCUUUGAUACUGGCGAUCUUGAGUCCGGGAGAGGUGAGUGGAACUGCGAGUGUAGAGGUGAAAUUCGUAGAUAUUCGCAAGAACACCAGUGGCGAAGGCGGCUUACUGGUCCGGUUCUGACGCUGAGGCGCGAAAGCGUGGGGAGCAAACAGG
rnacentral:rRNA from 1 species